rnacentral:rRNA from 1 species
AAUCAACGCUGGCGGCGUGCCUCAGACAUGCAAGUCGAACGAUUAAAGCUCUCUUCGGAGAGUGCAUAAAGUGGCGCACGGGUGAGUAACACGUAAGUAAUCUACCUUCGAGUGGGGAAUAACGUCCGGAAACGGACGCUAAUACCGCAUAACGCAGCGGCAUCGCAAGAUGACAGUUGUUAAAGAUUUAUCGCUUGAAGAGGAGCUUGCGGCAGAUAGCUUGUUGGUAAGGUAACGGCUUACCAAGGCUACGAUCUGUAUCCGGUCUAAGAGGACGGUCGGACACACUGACACUGAAUAACGGGUCAGACUCCUACGGGAGGCAGCAGUCGGGAA